AAACGAUAGAGAAAGCUUGCUUUUUCUAGGCGUCGACCGGCGCACGGGUGAGUAUCGCGUAUCCAACCUGCCCAUCACUUGGGGAUAACCUUGCGAAAGUAAGACUAAUACCCAAUGGUAUCUCAAGAAGACAUCUGAAUGAGAUUAAAGAUUUAUCGGUGAUGGAUGGGGAUGCGUCUGAUUAGCUUGUUGGCGGGGUAACGGCCCACCAAGGCGACGAUCAGUAGGGGUUCUGAGAGGAAGGUCCCCCACAUUGGAACUGAGACACGGUCCAAACUCCUACGGGAGGCAGCAGUGAGGAAUAUUGGUCAAUGGGCGAGAGCCUGAACCAGCCAAGUAGCGUGCAGGAAGACGGCCCUAUGGGUUGUAAACUGCUUUUAUAAGGGAAUAAAGUGAGUCUCGUGAGACUUUUUGCAUGUACCUUAUG
rnacentral:rRNA from 1 species